rnacentral:rRNA from 1 species
UACGAGGGGGGCAAGCGUUGUUCGGAAUUAUUGGGCGUAAAGGGCGCGUAGGCGGUUUGACAAGUCUUACGUGAAAUCCCCGGGCUCAACCUGGGAACUGCAUCCAAAACUGGCAAGCUAGAGUAUGGUAGAGGGUGGUGGAAUUUCCUGUGUAGCGGUGAAAUGCGUAGAUAUAGGAAGGAACACCAGUGGCGAAGGCGACCACCUGGACUGAUACUGACACUGAGGUGCGAAAGCGUGGGGAGCAAACAGG